UUUUACGCACCGUUUCUUGAUUCAAAAACUAGACUCGUAUAUCUUUCUGAAUAUGUUUGGGCUGUGUCGUGGCUCUUUCUAGAUUAUAGCAGUUUUUGAAUUAAAGUUCAGGUUUUGGUACUUCUGAAAUUCUGGACAGCUUUUGGCUUGUGUUUGUCAUGAAAUUCCUCAAGUUUAAGCAUGCUGGGUGGACAUGGGUUCUCAUGAGUCUUAAACAUUGAUCAAUUGGUGAUGUUUUGGUGUUGGUAUUAUUGGAAAAUAUUGAGUAUAUGAUUUUUAAUGAGCUUUCGAUCGCAAACUGUUCUGCUGAAAACUGUGAAUUCUGCUUUAGAUGUGUAACUUCAUUUGAGCGUAUCUUGGUCAUUCGGACUCCGUUUAGGACAAAUUUUAUAUCAAAAUUCAUGUACCGGAGGUGUACUUUCUAAUGGUGGUGGUUUCAUAAUCUGGUUUUAACCCUAUAAGAAGUUAUAGGCAGAAUACGACAGGCUGGUCAUAGAUUUCAAACCAAAUGUAGGAGUUAUGUGGUGUUUGAGUGUUACACUUGUUUAGGGACAAUUCUAAACCUUUGAGAUAGACAUGUUAGUAUGCGUUAAGUAUUGUUAAUCUAUUGUUGGUGUUAUAGAGUAUUGUUAGGAGGUAGUUUUGACGUUUAAGCGUUCAAUAAACUGAUAUGGUUAGCUUGUGGUUAGGUAACAAGCCGAUCAAUUGGAGAGGUUCCGAAACUGUAAGUUUGGCGUACCUCGGUCGAUACAAGGUAGCAGGUUGUGUAGAGUGGGUCCACUACCGGUCAUCGUGUUGAGAAGUGUUUGGGCUAGCGUCGGAUGAUGUGGAUAAGCGAGUUGGUUGUAGGUAGUGAACUAAAAAGUUGAUUUAUAUAAGUUAUAAAUAUGUUGUUGGUGGAUGUGUUGAAGUGUAGAAUUUUUAAAGUAUUGUAAAACUAUAUUGUGAUUUAGUUGUGCGAGGUCAUGGUUGGUUGGUCGAUACGUCGACUCAUUUUUAUGUUAAGGUGAUAAGUCUUCCGCUGGGUGUUUAUUCUGACAA